rnacentral:rRNA from 1 species
AGCAGCCGCGGUAAUUCCAGCUCCAAUAGCGUAUAUUAAAGUUGUUGCAGCUAAAAAGCUCGUAGUUGAAUUUCGGGGUUAGUAGAUUGGUCAUGCCAUCGGUAUGCACUGGUCUCACUGAUUCCUCCUUCCUGAUGAGCCGUAAUGCCAUUAAUUUGGUGUUGCGGGGAAUUUGGACUGUUACUUUGAAAAAAUUAGAGUGUUUAAAGCAAGCUAACGCUUGAAUACAUUAGCAUGAAAUAAUGAAAUAGGACGUUCGAUCCUAUUUUGUUGGUUUCUAGGAUUGACGUAAUGAUUAAUAGGGAUAGUUGGGGGCAUUAGUAUUCAAUUGUCAGAGGUGAAAUUCUUGGAUUUAUUGAAGACUAACUACUGCGAAAGCAUUUGCCAAGGAUGUUUUCAUUAAUCAAGAACGAAAGUUAGGGGAUCGAAGACGAUCAGAUACCGUCGUAGUCUUAACCAUAAACUAUGCCGACUAGGGAUCGGAUGAUGUUAAUUUUUUAAUGACUCAUUCGGCGCCUUACG